CCAUUGAACUCUAUUAUCUCAUUUCUAUCAAUUACUCCAACAAGAAAAAAAGGCAGUAAUCAUAUACUAUUAGAAGUUUUAUUAAUUUCAAUCCGAGGAAAUUCUAUUAAUGUUAGUCCAUGACUUCUUCGUGACAUAUAAUUAGUAAAUACUUGAACACCUAAUUCAGAGAAAUGCUGCAAAUGCACUUCCCAUACUGGGCAUCUCCGAAAAAGCUAAAAUUUAAACUUUCCAAAUUCGUCAUCUUUCAGUUGGCAUACGAGCAAACAAAUAAAAAUCCAAUUCAAAAAAAAUGUUAACAGUCAGACCUCUUCAUUAAUGGCCUCUUCGUAACAAAUGAGUAUAAACCUAGUAUAGAAUAUACAAAAAUGACAGAAUAAGGGAGCUUAAGGAUAAAUUCAGUACACCAAACCCUAAAAGAUCAACUCAAAUUAAAAAGUUUCAGUCAAGGAGGAAUCGUUACUAGCCUGUUUUUUCCGAUGACAAGGUCAAUUCCUUCAGAUGGUUAAUAUCGGCGAUGUAUUAAAGAUGAUGAUUUGGAUGAGAUAUUUUUUCUGUUGAUUAUGGCUAUGGUAAUAGCCAUGGAGGUGGUAUUGGUGGUAGCCAUAGAAACGGACGGGUCGAGAGUCUGAAGAAGAUGAGAG
rnacentral:lncRNA from 1 species